rnacentral:rRNA from 1 species
AACGAACGCUGGCGGCAGGCCUAACACAUGCAAGUCGAGCGAGGACUUCGGUUCUAGCGGCGGACGGGUGAGUAACGCGUGGGAAUGUGCCCUUCUCUACGGAAUAGCCUUGGGAAACUGGGAGUAAUACCGUAUACGCCCUAUUGGGGAAAGAUUUAUCGGAGAAGGAUCAGCCCGCGUUGGAUUAGGUAGUUGGUGGGGUAAUGGCCUACCAAGCCGACGAUCCAUAGCUGGUUUGAGAGGAUGAUCAGCCACACUGGGACUGAGACACGGCCCAGACUCCUACGGGAGGCAGCAGUGGGGAAUCUUAGACAAUGGGGGCAACCCUGAUCUAGCCAUGCCGCGUGAGUGAUGAAGGCCUUAGGGUUGUAAAGCUCUUUCAGCUGGGAAGAUAAUGACGGUACCAGCAGAAGAAGCCCCGGCUAACUCCGUG